AUUGAACGCUGGCGGCAGGCUUAACACAUGCAAGUCGAGCGGGGUGAGGUACUUCGGUACUGAUCCUAGCGGCGGACGGGUGAGUAAUGCUUAGGAAUCUGCCAUUUAGUGGGGGACAACAUUCCGAAAGGGAUGCUAAUACCGCAUACGUCCUACGGGAGAAAGCAGGGGAUCUUCGGACCUUGCGCUAAAUGAUGAGCCUAAGUCGGAUUAGCUAGUUGGUGGGGUAAAGGCCUACCAGGGCGACGAUCUGUAGCGGGUCUGAGAGGAUGAUCCGCCACACUGGGACUGAGACACGGCCCAGACUCCUACGGGAGGCAGCAGUGGGGAAUAUUGGACAAUGGGCGGAAGCCUGAUCCAGCCAUGCCGCGUGUGUGAAGAAGGCCGUUUGGUUGUAAAGCACUUUAAGCGAGGAGGAGGCUACCUGGAUUAAUACUCUGGGAUAGUGGACGUUACUCGCAGAAUAAGCACCGGCUAACUCUGUGCCAGCCGCCGCAGUAACAC
rnacentral:rRNA from 1 species